rnacentral:rRNA from 1 species
CGUGUAGGCGGUUACAUAAGUCUGUUGUGAAAGUCGGAGGCUCAACCUUCGAAAGCCGAUGGAUACUGUGUGACUUGAGUACGGAAGAGGAGAGUGGAAUUCCUGGUGUAGCGGUGAAAUGCGCAGAUAUCAGGAGGAACACCAACGGCGAAGGCAGCUCUCUGGGACGUUACUGACGCUGAGACGCGAAAGCGUGGGGAGCAAACAGGAUUAGAUACCCUGGUAGUCCACGCCGUAAACGAUGGUCACUAGAUGUGGGGGGUGUCGACUCCCUCCGUGUCGUAGCUAACGCGUUAAGUGACCCGCCUGGGGAGUACGGCCGCAAGGCUAAA